GAUGAACGCUAGCGGCAGGCCUAACACAUGCAAGUCGAGGGAGGAGCCUUCGGGCUUCGGCCGGCGUACGGGUGCGUAACGCGUAUACAAACUGCCGUUCACAUAGGGUUAGCCCGAAGAAAUUUGGAUUAAUACCUAAUGGUAUAUAGAUGUGGCAUCACCUUCAUAUUAAAGCUGAGGCGGUGAAAGAUGAGUAUGCGUUCUAUUAGCUAGUUGGAGAGGUAACGGCUCCCCAGGGCGACGAUAGAUAGGGGUUCUGAGGGGGGUAGCCCCCACACUGGUACUGGGAACCGGACCAGACACCUACGGGAGGGAGCAGUGAGGAAGAUAGCAGAAGGGUAGGAAGCCUGAUCCAGCCAUGCCGCGUGCAGGAAGACGGCGUUAUGGGUGGUAAACUGCUGUUGCAGGGGAAGAAUAAGGACUACGCGUAGUUUGAUGACGGUACUCUGCGAAUAAGCACCGGCUAACUACGUG
rnacentral:rRNA from 1 species